rnacentral:rRNA from 1 species
UACGGGGGGGCAAGCGUUGUUCGGAAUUACUGGGCGUAAAGGGCGCGUAGGUGGCCUUCUAAGUUGAACGUGAAAUCCCUGGGCUCAACCCAGGAACUGCGUCCAAGACUGGGAGGCUUGAAUCCGGGAGAGGGAUGCGGAAUUCCAGGUGUAGCGGUGAAAUGCGUAGAUAUCUGGAGGAACACCGGUGGCGAAGGCGGCAUCCUGGACCGGUAUUGACACUGAGGCGCGAAAGCCAGGGGAGCAAACGGG